GAGGGUAUAGCUCAGUGGUAGAGAGUGUGCUUAGCAAGAACGAGGUCCUGGGUUCAAUCCUCAGUACCUCCA
rnacentral:tRNA from 1 species